CCUACGGGAGGCAGCAGUGGGGAAUAUUGCGCAAUGGGCGAAAGCCUGACGCAGCGACGCCGCGUGAGGGAUGAAGGUCUUCGGAUCGUAAACCUCUGUCAGCAGGGAAGAACAGUCACUGUGCUAAUCAGCAGUGAAUUGACGUUACCUGCAAAGGAAGCACCGGCUAACUCCGUGCCAGCAGCCGCGGUAAUACGGAGGGUGCGAGCGUUGAUCGGAAUUACUGGGCGUAAAGCGCUCGUAGGCGGUAUGUCAAGUCAAGAGUGAAAUCCCCGCGCUCAACGUGGGAACUGUCUUUGAUACUGGCAGACUGGAGUGUGUGAGAGGAUAGUGGAAUUCGAGGUGUAGGAGUGAAAUCCGUAGAUAUCUGGAGGAACAUCAGUGGCGAAGGCGACUAUCUGGCACAUAACUGACGCUGAGGAGCGAAAGCGUGGGUAGCAAACAGGAUUAGAUACCCCAGUAGUC
rnacentral:rRNA from 1 species